AGCAGCCGCGGUAAUUCCAGCUCCAAUAGCGUAUAUUAAAGUUGUUGCAGUUAAAAAGCUCGUAGUUGAAUUUCGGGGUUCUACCGUUGGUCGGGCAAUAGUCUGUACUGGCGUGUAGAAUUUCUACCUUCUGGGGAACUAUCAUGUUAUUUAUUUAGCGUGGUAGGAAACCAGGACCUUUACCUUGAAAAAAUUAGAGUGUUCAAAGCAGGCUUACGUCUGAAUACAUUAGCAUGGAAUAAUAAAAUAGGACGGUGGUCCUGUUUUGUUGGUUUCUGAAUCACCGUAAUGAUUAAUAGGGAUAGUUGGGGGCAUUAGUAUUCAAUUGUCAGAGGUGAAAUUCUUGGAUUUAUUGAAGACUAACUUCUGCGAAAGCAUUUGCCAAGGAUGUUUUCAUUAAUCAAGAACGAAAGUUAGGGGAUCGAAGACGAUCAGAUACCGUCGUAGUCUUAACCAUAAACUAUGCCGACUAGGGAUCGGAUGAUGUUGAUUUUUAAUGACUCAUUCGGCACCUUACGGG
rnacentral:sRNA from 1 species